rnacentral:rRNA from 1 species
CACGUAGGGGGCAAGCGUUGUCCGGAUUUAUUGGGCGUAAAGAGCUCGUAGGUGGUUCGGUAAGUCAGGUGUGAAACCUCCAGGCUCAACCUGGAGACGCCACUUGAUACUGCUGUGACUGGAGUCCGGUAGGGGAGCGUGGAAUUCCUGGUGUAGCGGUGAAAUGCGCAGAUAUCAGGAGGAACACCGGUGGCGAAGGCGGCAUCCUGGACCGAGAUUGACGCUGAGGCGCGAAAGCCAGGGGAGCAAACGGG